AUGUCGGAUGGCUGGUCGGAUAAAAGAGGACGCCAUUUGAUUAACUUCCUUGUUAAUAGUCCAGAGGGCACUUUCUUCUUGGAGUCGGUUGAUGCCUCAAGUGUAUGUCAUGACGGUGAUAUGAUAGCUGAUUUGCUUGAGAAGAGAAUUCUGGAUGUUGGAAAAGAGAAUGUGGUACAGGUUAUCACGGAUAAUGGUGCUAAUUACAAGAAAGCUGGCCACCUUCUAAUGGAGAGGAUGCCUACUCUAUAUUGGAGCCCGUGUGCAUGUCAUUGCUUGGACCUAAUGUUGGAAGAUAUAGGAAAGUUGAAGGCAUUUAAGAAGCCUAUUGCAGGGGCUAGACGUGUCACAACUUUCAUCUAUAGACAUGGAAGACUUCUUAGUCUAAUGAGGAAGGCCACGGGUGGGGAUCUUGUGAGACCAGCAGCAACUCAUUUUGCCACAGCCAUCCUCACACUUAGGAGUUUGGUCAAGAACAAGGCUGCAUUGAGGAGUUUAUUUACAUCUGAUGAAUGGGUUGGAAACAAGUUAGCAAAAACACAAGUUGGCUUGAAUGUGCAAGAGAUUAUACUUUCAACGGAGUGGUGGAGCGCAAUUGAGGACUGCCUUAGAGCUUCAACUCCACUUCUUAGAGUUCUUAGAGUAGCGGAUGGUGAUGAGAAGCCUACCAUGCCAGAGAUUAAAGCACUUAUGAUUUAUGCAAAGGAGAGGAUCAAUCUAGGUUUCCCUCAACAAAACAAGCAACCAUUGCUCAAGAAGAUCUUGGCCAUUGUUAACAAGCGUUGGGAGAAUCAAAUGGAUCAUCCAUUGUAUGGGGCUGCUCUAUUUUUGAACCCAGGAAAGUUCUUUCCUAUUGUAAGCAGAAAUGAUGAUGCCUUAGUUGGGGAGCUUAGGAGCUGCUUUAAUGAUGUGCUUGCAAAAAUGGUAUCGGAUGCCAAUGUUCGAAAAAAGAUUUAUCAACAAUCUGUGCUCUAUGAGGGCCAACGAGAAGGCUUUUCUAAUCCAUUGGCACUCGAGACCAUGAGCACAAGAAACCCUCUUGAUUGGUGGAGUUCAUUUGGUGGUCGGGCCAUUGACCUACAAAGGUUUGCAAAGCGCAUUGUUAGUCUUUGUGCUUCAUCAUCUGGUUGUGAGAGGAAUUGGAGCACGUUUCAAUUUAUCCAUACGAAGAAAAGGAACAGGUUACAAUGGAAAAGGUUGAAUGAUCUUUUCUUUGUUUCAUACAACCGGAAGAAUAUGCAACGGUUUCAAAAGAGGCGUGAGAAGGUGAGCGAGAAUAGCUUUGAGGCUUUGGUCAUUGAGGAUUUUGAUUGGGGCAAUGAGUGGGUGGACCCAUCACUAUCACAACCUCAAGGUGCUCGAGGUUGUCCUGAAGACAAUCAAGACAUUACAUGGGAGGAUGUUGAUGUGGCUAUUGGUGCAUCUUCAAACCUUCGAGGCCGCAAUCUGCAUAGGACAGCAACUACAGUUCAUAGGGGCCAGACAAAUUUCCGUCUGCAACACUACGCACGCAAGAGACCUACUACAACACGACCUACAAAUCCUGAAGAAGAUGAAGCAUAG
rnacentral:rRNA from 1 species